UUUCCAGCCCAAUAGAUCCUGCUUUGAUCUCCAUUUGUCCAAGCCUAGGGAACAUUUAUCGUGCCUUCAGAACAUGGGUUUGUGGUCUCCUUUAAAGAGUAGAGAGUGGCCCCGUUGGCCUGGCAAGGUGCCCUGCCAGUCCUGGGACUUCAGGAGACCGUCUGCCAGACCAGAGAGCCCUCCACCCCAGGGAGCCCCACAGGAACCCAGACUUAAGUCCCACCAAGUGGGUUUUUCCUGAGAGCUAAGAAGACAGACACCACAGCCAGUGGAAUACAAAAAUAGAGCCUC